GCGCCCGUAGCUCAGCUGGAUAGAGUAACAGACUCCGACUCUGUAGGUCGCAGGUUCGACUCCUGUCGGGCGCACCA
rnacentral:tRNA from 1 species